rnacentral:rRNA from 1 species
UACGGGGGAGCAAACGUUGUUCGGAAUCACUGGGCGUAAAGGGAGCGUAGGCGGCCAUGUAAGUGAGGUGUUAAAUCCCCCGGCGUCAACCGGGGACCUGCACCUCAUACUGCACGGCUUGAGUACAUCAGAGGAGACUGGAAUUCCCGGUGUAGCGGUGAAAAUGCGUAGAUAUCGGGAGGAACACCAGUGGCGAAGGCGAGUCUCUGGGAUGAUACUGACGCUGAUGCUCGAAAGCUAGGGGAGCAAACGGG